rnacentral:lncRNA from 1 species
CUCUGGCUGCACAUCCUUAAACUUAUAACUAAGUUCGUCAUUCAUAGCUACCCUCAUCACACAAUGCACAAUCGUGUGAUCAUUGAGCUACUUCAUGUAAGUAUCUCACAUGGUCUGAGAAGUAUUGGUUGUAGGUUCUUCUGGUGCCUCAUCCGUAAGGACAUAUAAAAUCCUCUCGUGCUCCAAGAUGAUCUUCAUCUUUCGAUACCAG